GAGUUUGAUCCUGGCUCAGAACGAACGCUGGCGGCAGGCCUAACACAUGCAAGUCGAACGCUGUAGCAAUACAGAGUGGCGCACGGGUGAGUAACGCGUGGGAACGUGCCCUUCAGUACGGAACAACGUCGGGAAACUGACGCUAAUACCGUAUAAUGUCUUCGGACCAAAGAUUUAUCGCUGAAGGAGCGGCCCGCGUCUGAUUAGCUAGUUGGUGAGGUAACGGCUCACCAAGGCUACGAUCAGUAGCUGGUCUGAGAGGAUGAUCAGCCACACUGGGACUGAGACACGGCCCAGACUCCUACGGGAGGCAGCAGUGAGGAAUAUUGGACAAUGGGCGAAAGCCUGAUCCAGCCAUGCCGCGUGAGUGAUGAAGGCCUUCGGGUUGUAAAGCUCUUUCAGGUGCGACGAUAAUGACGGUAACACCAGAAGAAGCCCCGGCUAACUCCGUGCCAGCAGCCGCGGUAC
rnacentral:rRNA from 1 species